rnacentral:lncRNA from 1 species
GCUGCUGCUGCUCGGAAAAGCCCUGGGGCGCGAGCUGCUGGCCAAGUCGCUGGCCAGUGCUGGAGCUCAGGCUGUGGCCGACGCUAUGGACGUUGCCGCCGCCGCUGCUACCCGCGCCACUGUUGUUGUGAAGCCCCGACGCCGUCGCUCACUCCGCCAUGUUGCCGCCCCCUGCCUGCGGUAGAGGCCACUGCGCCUGCGCAGAGCCUCAGGAGGCGGAGCUCUCACAGCACCCCCUCGGUCGCCCUGCCCUCCUUCUCCUUCCGCCCACCCACCCCGGCACCCCUAGUCCCUCCCCCAACCACACAACGGAUAGACAGGCAUUGGUUUCAGCAACGGAAUUAGCAGC